CCCUACGGGGGGCAGCAGUGAGGAAUAUUGGUCAAUGGGCGGGAGCCUGAACCAGCCAAGCCGCGUGAGGGGAGAAGGUACAGCGUAUCGUAAACCUCUUUUGUCAGGGAACAAAGGCGGGGACUAGUCCCCGGAUGAGGGUACCUGAAGAAAAAGCAUCGGCUAACUCCGUGCCAGCAGCCGCGGUAAUACGGAGGAUGCGAGCGUUAUCCGGAUUUAUUGGGUUUAAAGGGUGCGCAGGCGGCCUGUUAAGUCAGCGGUAAAAGCCCGGGGCUCAACCUCGGCGAGCCGUUGAAACUGGCGGG
rnacentral:rRNA from 1 species